rnacentral:lncRNA from 1 species
CCCCCUCUUAUCCUUGCCAUCUUACCUCUUUUACUUCCUCUCUAUCUUCCGGUCCUUCCUCUUCCCUCCACCACUCCCCUCAUUUUCAAAUCCAAGGAGAAACAUUUGUAGCUUAAUCCAAACUUCAUUUUGAUCCGACUGUGGAUCCGGUCUUACCAUCCUAUCAAACUAUGGCUAGAUUGUUUGAAGCUUGAUUUGGUUCGUGGACUUCUAUUGAUGU